GGGGGCGAAACGGCUUCGACGUGGAUAACAAAGCUUCAGGUGCAUGUAGUGAUGGUGGCGAAUCACUUUAAUCCAAAGCCGCAAAACAUAGUCGCAAACGACGAAAGCUACGCACUAGCCGCCUAAGGGCCGCUAGCCAUCCACUCGCCUGGGUCUGACCAGAGAGGUUAGGAUGGUCAUCUCCUUCAGAAUCGCAGAAACGGUUGUUCGGGCCCGACCUGCUAAAACCCAAUUCCGAACUCGCCAAUCAGCUCCUGCCCUUCGGAAACUGUGCGGUUAACUUAAAGAAGAGGCUAAACAUGUAGGACCGCGAGUGGCGGAUUUGCGGACGCGGGUUCAACUCCCGCCGCCUCCACCA
rnacentral:tmRNA from 1 species